AAUAAAUUUUUUAUAUUUUUUAUAAUUUAUUAUAAAUUUAUUUUACAUGUAAAUUUUAGUAUUAAAUUUUAAUUAUUUAAAUAAUAAUUAAUUUAAAUAUACAGUAAUUAAAAUUAAAAAUUUAAGAAAUUAAGAUUUAGUAAUAUUUAAAUUAAUAACUAAUUUUGUGCCAGCAGUUGCGGUUAAACAAAAGUUAAAUUAAAUUAUUUCAGUAUAUAAUAAAUAAUAAAUAAUUAAAUUAAAUAUUAAAUUAUUAAGUGAAAUUUUAAUUUAAUUAAAAAUUAUAAUGAAAUUAUGGUUUAACAAAUUUUAUUUUAAACUAGGAUUAGAUACCCUAUUAUUAAAAAUUUAAUUGAAAAUACUAAAAUAGUAAAUAAAAUAUUAUUGAAACUUAAAUAAUAUGGCGGUAUUUUAGUUCAUUUAGAGGAAUCUGUCUAAUAAUUGAUAAUCCACGAAUAAAUUUACUUAAUUUAUAAUUUUGUAUAUCAUUGUUAAAAAAAUAUUUUUUAAUAAAAAUAAUAUUUUAAAAUUUAAAAUAAAAUUUAAUUCAGAUCAAGAUGCAGAUUAUAAUUAAGUUUAAGAUGGAUUACAAUAAAUAUAUUUAAGUGGAGAGAAUUUUGUAAAAUUUAAUUGAAAAUGGAUUUAAAUGUAAUUUUAAUUAGUUUAUUAAAAUGAUUAAAAAUUGGAAUAUGUACAUAUUGCCCGUCACUUUCAUUUUAAAAUUGGAAUAAGUCGUAACAAAGUAGAGGUACUGGAAAGUGUUUCUAGAAUGAA
rnacentral:ncRNA from 1 species